rnacentral:rRNA from 1 species
AUUANACCGGUCCNACCUGUAUGAGCGUUAACUCGCCAACAUUCNCUUCANUUGUNUGAUAAUGUCNGUNNUNAGUGGGAGAAGCUCCCCUGUCGAGGAGGUACCCUUCAGAAAUGAAUAUGGCAGUAUAGUUUAUAUUUGAACUAGGCGUAAUAAUAAUAUUGUCGCUGAGUUUAUCAUAUUUGUACUUGCCUGAACCCACCCAUUAUUAAAUCGGGUAACCUCAAAUCAGGUAGGGAUACCCGCUGAAUUAAGCAUAUCAAUAAGCGGAGGAAAAGAAACCAACAGGGAUUGCCCUAGUAACGGCGAGUGNAGCGGCAAAAGCUCAGAUUUGGAAUCUGGCGUCAUUGUGGCGUCCGAAGUUGUAGUCUGAAGAGGGGAAUUCAAGGAGCUUUGGCUUAAGUUCCUUGGAACAGGACGUAUAGAGGGUGAGAACCCCGUUAAUGGCCUUUGUCUUAUGCUUAUGUGAAUUCUCCUUCCUGAGUCGAGUUGUUUGGGAAUGCAGCUCUAAAUGGGUGGUAAAUUCCAUCUAAAGCUAAAUACUGGCAAGAGACCGAUAGCGCACAAGUAGAGUGAUCGAAAGAUGNAAAGAACUCUGAACAGAGAGUUAAAUAGUACGUGAAAUUGUUGAAAGGGAAGCACUUGUAACCAGACAUGCUUGCAGCUGAUCAAUUCUGAUUUUUGAGNAUACAUUCAGUCNUUAGCGAGCCAACAUCAGU